rnacentral:lncRNA from 1 species
AAGCCACACCUUGUGACACUGAGGUGAAAAGGCAGGUCGGGUGAAGAAGAGCAGGAUGUUUCAUUUUUAUCAAGCAUCACCUGAUUCAAAAUGUAGCCACUGAAAAGAAGCCAUCGUUUUUGGCCUGCGUCUCUGAGGAUAAGAUAGUGCGUGGGUGAUGGAUGCAGCCCAGCAGCCUCAGGAGGACAACGUCAGAAACCAAAAGCUCCUCUGCCCAGGGAUGGGGACCCGCCGACUUCAAGGGCAGAACAGAUCAGCUAUGAAAAUACCCAGCCGGCCUGCAGCCCUCCCGGCAGAUGCUGAAAAGGAAACCCGACUGGGAGAUGCCGCCCACCCUUAUCCCCAGAGAGCUGCGUUGUUUCCUCUUGCCUUGGCCUUUGGAUCCGGCCAUAGCAAGCAUCCCUGGGCACCUGGCUGAAGCUGGAAACUCGGGAUAAGAAUGGAAGCCCUGGAAGGGAAGAAGAACCGAGGAGAGGACAGCACAUUGCACUCUCACCUCCUUUGCAGUUAAGUGUGAAAUAGUGCCAAUAGAGUGUAAAAGAAAAGAAAGAAGAUGAUUCACCUCCCAAAGAUUCCCCACUGCUGUGUCCCUUCUAUCAACUUGAUACAAAAAAACACAAUGGCCCCGGGAACCACGUGUUGAAGAUGAGAGAGCUAAAAGAUGGAAAGAGACUGGAGCCCUGAGUCACCACCUGGAGGAAAACUACCCACCCAUCAGGAAUUUCUACUACACAUUUGGGAGUUUUUGGGGUUACAGCAGCUAAUUUAACGAAAACACCCAGAGACAAGAGCUAUUACUGCACAAAUUGGUUAAGUUACCUUUUUGUAUGUUUGGGUCCUCUCUAUUCGAUGAGACUGCGCGUUCCUUUGAAGCAAAUCUGUUUAAAAUUCUUAUAUCCCCAGAGGGCCUAGCAGAGAGUAUGCACAGAGUGAGCCUUCAGUAAAUGCUGAGUAAAUAAGCUCCUAAUGGAUGAAA